rnacentral:rRNA from 1 species
GACGAACGCUGGCGGCGUGCUUAACACAUGCAAGUCGAACGGUGAAGCGCCUUCCUUUUUGGUGGGUGUGGAUGAGUGGCGAACGGGUGAGUAACACGUGAGUAACCUGCCCCCUUCUUCUGGAUAACCGCAUGAAAGUGUGGCUAAUACGGGAUAUUCUGGGUCUGUCGCAUGAUGGGUCUGGGAAAGAUAUUGUUUCGGUGGGGGAUGGGCUCGCGGCCAAUCAGCUUGUUGGUGGGGUGAUGGCCUACCAAGGCGGUGACGGGUAGCCGGCCUGAGAGGGUGGACGGUCACACUGGGACUGAGACACGGCCCAGACUCCUACGGGAGGCAGCAGUGGGGAAUAUUGCACAAUGGGCGCAAGCCUGAUGCAGCGACGCCGCGUGAGGGAUGGAGGCCUGCGGGUUGUGAACCUCUUUCGCCAGUGAAGCAGGCCUGCCUCGUUUGUGGGUGGGUUGACGGUAGCUGGAGAAGAAGCGCCGGCUAACUACGUG